UGUCUGUUCUGCAUUGAAAAACACAUGUAAAAAAAGUAAAUUAGUUAUAAUUAGCUGAUAAACUAACAUUGUAAUAAUAAUAAUAAUAUUAAUAAAAAUGAUUCAAUUAAGAUCCUGACAAAAGGCUAUAUAUUUCUUAUGUAGGAGCAUUACUUAAGUUCCUGUCACCACCACUUCUGACAGAAGAUUGUCCAGUCCCUCCUGACAGUGAAAAUGGAGCAUCACUUAAGAUCCUGUCACCACCACUUCUGACAGAAGAUUGUCCAGUCCCUCCUGACAGUGAAAAUGUGACAUAUACCUUGUUGACAUUGGAACAACAACCUGCUAACAAUGAGGAAACACCACUCACUUCUUCCACAUGCAGUAGUGUUGAUCUUGACAAAGGUACUACAAGAUUCCUAAUGUCUCACGACCCUGCAAAAUGGCC